UGGGGGAAUAUUGCACAAUGGGCGGAAGCCUGANGCAGCGACGCCGCGUGGGGGAUGAAGGCCUUCGGGUNGUAAACUCCUUUCGACAGGGACGAAGCGUAAGUGACGGUACCNGUAUUAGAAGCACCNGCUAACUACGUGCCAGCAGCCGCGGUUAUACGUAGGGUGCGAGCGUUGUCCGGAAUUACUGGGCGUAAAGAGCUCGUAGGUGGUUUGUCGCGUCGUCUGUGAAAUUCCGGGGCUUAACUCCGGGCGUGCAGGCGAUACGGGCUGACUUGAGUGCCGUAGGGGAGACUGGAAUUCCUGGUGUAGCGGUGAAAUGCGCAGAUAUCAGGAGGAAUACCGAUGGCGAAGGCAGGUCUCUGGGCAGUAACUGACGCUGAGGAGCGAAAGCAUGGGUAGCGAACAGGAUUAGAUACCCUGGUAGUCCAUCCGUAAACGGUGGGCGCUAGGUGUAGGGGGCUUCCACGUCUUCUGUGCCGUAGCUAACGCAUUAAGCGCCCCGCCUGGGGAGUACGGCCGCAAGGCUA
rnacentral:rRNA from 1 species